rnacentral:rRNA from 1 species
AUUGAACGCUAGCGGGAUGCUUUACACAUGCAAGUCGAACGAGUGGCGGACGGGUGAGGAAUAUAUCGGAACGUGCCCAGUAGCGGGGGAUAACUACGCGAAAGAGUGGCUAAUACCGCAUACGAUUGAAACGGCCGAUGUCGGAGUAGCUAGUUGGUGGGGUAAAGGCUCACCAAGGCAACGAGCCGUAGCUGGUUUGAGAGGACUACCAGCCACACUGGGACUGAGACACGGCCCAGACUCCUACGGGAGGCAGCAGUGGGGAAUUUUGGACAAUGGGGGAAACCCUGAUCCAGCCAUGCCGCGUGUAUGAGAAGGCCUUCGGGUUGUAAAGUACUUUUGGCAGAGAAGCGGUAUCUGCAGAAUAAGCACCGGCUAACUACGUGCCAGCAGCCGCGGUAAUAC